GAUAAAUGAUGUCUUCCUGGA
rnacentral:piRNA from 1 species